GAACACGUGAGGAAUCUGCCUUCAACACUGGGAUAACCCCGGGAAACCGGGGCUAAUACCGGAUACGAGCUCUGAUCGCAUGAUCGGGGCUGGAAAGUUUUUCGGUUGAAGAUGACCUCGCGGCCUAUCAGCUUGUUGGUGAGGUAAUGGCUCACCAAGGCGACGACGGGUAGCCGGCCUGAGAGGGCGACCGGCCACACUGGGACUGAGACACGGCCCAGACUCCUACGGGAGGCAGCAGUGGGGAAUAUUGGGCAAUGGAGGAAACUCUGACCCAGCGACGCCGCGUGCGGGAUGAAGGCCUUCGGGUUGUAAACCGCUUUCAGUAGGGAAGAAGCGAAAGUGACGGUACCUACAGAAGAAGCACCGGCUAACUAUGUGCCAGCAGCCGCGGUAAUACAUAGGGUGCAAGCGUUGUCCGGAAUUAUUGGGCGUAAAGAGCCCGUAGGUGGUUUGAUACGUCGGGUGUGAAAUUCAGGGGCUCAACCCCUGACCUGCAUUCGAUACGGUCAAGCUGGAGUUUGGUAGGGGAGACUGGAAUUCCUGGUGUAGCGGUGGAAUGCGCAGAUAUCAGGAGGAACACCGAUGGCGAAGGCAGGUCUCUGGGCCAAUACUGACACUGAGGAGCGAAAGCGUGGGGAGCGAACAGGAUUAGAUACCCUGGUAGUCCACGCCGUAAA
rnacentral:rRNA from 1 species